UACGUAGGGUGCGAGCGUUGUCCGGAAUUAUUGGGCGUAAAGGGCUCGUAGGCGGUUUGUCGCGUCGGGAGUGAAAACUCAGGGCUUAACCCUGAGCCUGCUUCCGAUACGGGCAGACUAGAGGUAUGCAGGGGAGAACGGAAUUCCUGGUGUAGCGGUGAAAUGCGCAGAUAUCAGGAGGACACCGGUGGCGAAGGCGGUUCUCUGGGCAUUACCUGACGCUGAGGAGCGAAAGUGUGGGGAGCGAACAGG
rnacentral:rRNA from 1 species